UUGCCCGGUGGUGUAAUCGGUAACACACCAGGUUUUGGUUCUGGUAUUCCUGGUUCGAGUCCAGGCCGGGUAGG
rnacentral:tRNA from 1 species